CUGAAGUGAGAAAAGCUGGAAAUUGCUUACUACUAAAAUAUUCAAUUGCAAGAGUCAAAGGGAGAUGGUUUGUGUCUAAUGUGUUAAGAAAGUGAAACAGUUGUGAAUUACACUGUGGGACGAGCAGGGGCAAUCUUUUAUAUAAGAUUUAAUGUAACAAGUCUUUGCCUACUACAUAGGAUAAGCAGUCUUCUCAUUUAUUAAUUGGAAUUUCCUUCACAUGACAAAUCCACAUUCUCUGACUUAAAUUGGCAAGGAAAACCAUGUUCCCUGGAUCUUGUUAAUGUUUAACUCUACACGAUGAGGACCUAUCGCAUUAACAUAUUAUCUGAUAUACAUGCAUUAUGCAUCUGGAAAAAAUGCAGACCAUCAUUCUGUACAUGUCCUGGACAAAAUCAAUUGAUGCUUUUUAUAUCAUCUCUUGCUUGCUUAGUUAAUAGAAUAUGCUGGAUGUAAGAUGCAAAACAUAUAUACUAAGCUUCAACAGAAAAAUUGUCCAUCUUGUUAAAAUAUAUUGGCUUUCGGGACUUGGAUAAGAUGGUUAAAACUUAAUUUGGACUCACGGCUUCUGUAGUUUUCAAGCUAUAUUAUUUUUGCAGUUUUAUAAGUGCUUAUAUAUUUGGUUGGAGCUCAUGGGGCUUCUUAAUGCGC
rnacentral:misc_RNA from 1 species